rnacentral:rRNA from 1 species
UUGGAGGGCAAGUCUGGUGCCAGCAGCCGCGGUAAUUCCAGCUCCAAUAGCGUAUAUUAAAGUUGUUGCAGUUAAAAAGCUCGUAGUUGGAUUUCGGGGUUAGUAGGUUGGUCAUGCCUCUGGUAUGUACUGGUCUUACUGAUUCCUCCUUCCUGAUGAACCUUAAUGCCAUUAAUUUGGUGUUUUGGGGAAUUUGGACUGUUACUUUGAAAAAAUUAGAGUGUUUAAAGCAAGCUAACGCUUGAAUACAUUAGCAUGGAAUAAUGAAAUAGGACGUUCGAUCCUAUUUUGUUGGUUUCUAGGAUUGACGUAAUGAUUAAUAGGGAUAGUUGGGGGCAUUAGUAUUCAAUUGUCAGAGGUGAAAUUCUUGGAUUUAUUGAAGACUAACUACUGCGAAAGCAUUUGCCAAGGAUGUUUUCAUUAAUCAAGAACGAAAGUUAGGGGAUCGAAGACGAUCAGAUACCGUCGUAGUCUUAACCAUAAACUAUGCCGACUAGGGAUCGGAUGAUGUUAAUUUUUUAAUGACUUAUUCGGCGCCUUACGGGAAACCAAAGUGUUUGGGUUC